AUUUCUUGCUUUGUUAAUAAAUGGUUUGGUUGGUUGUUGAUUAUGCCUUGGUGUUGUAUAGGAUUGAGGCAAUUGGACCAACCUUGAGAGACCAACCAUUGGAGCAAGCUAUGGAGCUUGAUUAGCUCCAUUGGAUAGGUUUUGUUUGGUGAGUGGAUAAUUGUAACUGGUUGCAGAAACUGUUGGUGGGAACAAAGGUUGGCUAAAGCUUGAGGUAAGGAUGCUGCAGGAGCCUCUGAUGGCAAGUGGCCUUAUUUGCAGUAGAUCAUGCAUGAAGAAAAUGAUGUUUUGAGAUCAUACAUGUUGUUUUGUAGAUUUACAUGUAUAGGAUUGAUCAUUGAUAGCAUUGACGUAUGUAUAUCUCGUUAUAUUUGAUGGACUUAGCCUAUGAUCAUGCCAUUGUAUAUCUCUUUGGUUGAUGAGAGCCAAGAGAUGAUCAUAGCCUUUUGUAGCUAAGUCCCCCGUUAUGUAAUUAAACUUGUAUCAAUGCUAUUUACUUCCAGGAUAUGAAUGCAUGAUGAA